AAGUGUUCCAGCUCUUUUAGAAUUUGUCUAGCAGGUUUUCUGACUUCGAUCAGAAAACCCCU
ensembl:snRNA LOC120096764 U7 small nuclear RNA